GCCAAAGCAGCUGACGGAUACGUGAAGCCGCAGAUCAAGCAAGUGGUCCCUGAGUUUGCUAAUGCAUCCACAGAUGCAGGGAGUGGCGCCACCUACAUGGACCAGGCUCCCUCCCCAGUAGUGUGCCCCCAGGCUCACUACAACAUUUACUCACAGAACGCCGACUCUGUCCUUGACACCGAUGGGGACUUUGAUCUAGAAGACACGAUGGAUGUGGCGCGGCGCGUGGAGGAACUCUUAGGCCGGCCCAUGGACAGUCAGUGGAUCCCUCACGCCCAGUCAUGACCAGACCUCGCCACCCGCAGCUUCAUCAUCCUCACGGAGGAUCUUCUUGUGGAUGUUUUAAUUCCAUGAAUCGCUUCUCUUUGGAAACAAUACUCAUAAUGUGAAGUGUUAAUACUAGUUGUGACUUUAGUGUUUCUGUGCAUAGUGGCACCAGUGAAGGGAGUGUGUGUCAGUGUGAAUGUGUGAGUUUGCACGUUGUGUUUUUCCCCCACCCCUUGCUGUCCAGUCUAAGCUGCAGUGCCAGGGCGGGGGCCGGGCUUGUUUUCACCUCGUGCAAAAAGGCGGUCGGUCCCCUGAACCCUGGAACCUGGCCAUGUGUCUUAAGGGUGGCUGAACUUUGACACACGACUGUUCAAGUAAGAAAAGGACAAAGAGAGGAAAAAGCACCUCCUCUCUGGGGAGCCUUCCUCCCUCGGCCAGGCAGUCCAUAGUCCAGGCAAGCUAUCAUUGUCUCUGCCUGUCUUCUGUUGAUGGAGACUGUUGUUGAUGGAGAAAGCCAGUGCUUCACAAGUCCCCUGUCCCCUUUGUACAUACCGAUGGAAAGGGACGCUGGAUAAAGAGUGUUGGGGCAAAGGUGGUCGCAGGUUUUUGGAUGGGUGGUGGCUGUUUCCACCAGGUAACCCAUCUCAACGUUGGCUCCUUGUCCUCUGCUUCUUCAGUCUCUCUGUUUCUAGAAUUGCCACUCAGCUUAUGUGUGUGUACUCGUGUGGGUAUGUUUAACAAAAUAAUGGAAAGGAAGGAGGGCCACCAAGCUCAGGGCUUAUAGGUGAUGCCCUGUGCUCUGCCAGCGUGGUGUGCAGUACCCAGGCCUGGCUCCAGACACCGGGCGUGGCCCAUCUCUGCUACCCUCUCCCACUCUGUGCUGUGACGAGCCUGUGCCUACAUUAUCCAAGGCUUUUCUAGAAGCUUGUGGAUAGUGGCUUCCUGCAAAUGUCCAGUGGUGGUUUUGUUUCUAAAUCAGGUCUCUUUAUGUUUUUCCCGUUUGCACCCUAAUUUGACAUCAGAGUUCUCUCUUCCUGUAUCAAGUCCUGGGUCCUCUAUCCCCAGGUCACCCCUUUCCCCUCCAGUGUCACAGAGUGUCCUGAGGAAUAGGUGGUAGGGAUUGUGACCUGUACCUGGGGCCAGCUUGCCACACAGGCAGUCACCACUAUGGGGUGCUGGGUGCUGUUGGGAGUUAGGGAAAUGCAGUCAGCAGGUUUGCUGGGAAGUUUAGUAAGCUUUAGAAAGGAGACUUUCUUCCACGGUCUCCUGGAGUGUCACCAGAAGGAAGGAAGGAGCUGCAGAGGGCAGGCAGGGAGAGGGGCAGGCAGAGAGCGGUUCCCACUCAGGCCUGCAAAGCCCUCCUUGGCCUCCUCUCCAAACAUGGGCAGAGCCACACCCACAGGAGAGGAGGACCCCAAAACCUUAUUUUUAUACAUGCAAGUAAAUAAACCUAUUUUUUUUACAAAAAUAGUAACUUCUGAAUUUUAUCAGUGUUUUACUGUUAAAGGAAAAUACUCCUGUGUCGUAAAUUAUUUAUUGGAAGAUGACUUUUUAAAAGCUGCUGCUUGCCUUGGCUUGGUUUUGUACACUGAUUUUUCUAUGCCUGGCGGUAGCCUCUCUGCCUCAGGUGCUCGCUGGAUGGAGGAAGCAUGAGGCCCCUCCUGCCCACUCAGGAGAAGGCUGGAGCUGCUUGAGGAAUCCAUACUUAGAGGACUCUUCCCCACCUGUCAUGUGGCCUAUUUGUUCCGGUAAACCUCCCAAGGGUGUGGACCUGACACACUUCUAGAUUUAUCGUGGACACGGCCCCAGAGCAUGGGGAUAGCAGAGCAGCCUGCCACCCCUAGAAGGUUCCUAGCUUAUUCUCUAGUUGGGUUGGAGAAGAAGGUACCCAAGUAAGGCUUCCACACGGUCGCUUCGCUCCCCUGGGUUUCACUGAGGCUGUUCCUGGAGAUGGGAGAGGUUUUGAACUGGAAGCUGUGUUCCCUGUCUGCAUGCCGCUCUCUCUCUCUCUCUCUCUCUGCCGACUCCUGCACACAAAGACAGGCCAGGGCAGGUCUCCACCUGCCUCUUGCCUGCUCACAGACCCACAUGUGAGUCCUGAAAGGUCUCAGCUUUGGGGUGUGGCGUGUGUGGGGCUUUGUAGGGGGGGGAAGAAGAUUCAAAGUGGUUAUCUCCGACAAUGAAAAUAUUCUUUUGUAAUUCUUCUUCUUAACAUUUUAUUUCAGAUGCAUAUUUUAGUGUCAAGGCAGAUUAGUAUAUUGCCACCAAAAAAGUAUUGUGUAUAAAUUGGGGCAGCCACAAAAUUGUGUAUUUUAUGUUACAAUAAAGGAGUCUCUGAAGGACAA